CGGUUGGGAGAGCUGCGAAAUCGCGGUUCGUUGGGUUAAUAGCCCACCCGGCUG
rnacentral:ncRNA from 1 species